rnacentral:rRNA from 1 species
CGAAGCGUGCGAUUGGAUUGCACGUCUAAGCAGUAAGGCUGAGUAUUAGGCAAAUCCGGUACUCAUUAAGGCUGAGCUGUGAUGGGGAGAAGACAUUGUGUCUUCGAGUCGUUGAUUUCACACUGCCGAGAAAAGCCUCUAGAUAGAAAAUAGGUGCCCGUACCGCAAACCGACACAGGUAGUCAAGAUGAGAAUUCUAAGGUGAGCGAGCGAACUCUCGUUAAGGAACUCGGCAAAAUGACCCCGUAACUUCGGGAGAAGGGGUGCUCUUUAGGGUUAACGCCCAGAAGAGCCGCAGUGAAUAGGCCCAAGCGACUGUUUAUCAAAAACACAGGUCUCUGCUAAACCGUAAGGUGAUGUAUAGGGGCUGACGCCUGCCCGGUGCUGGAAGGUUAAGAGGAGUGGUUAGCUUCUGCGAAGCUACGAAUCGAAGCCCCAGUAAACGGCGGCCGUAACUAUAACGGUCCUAAGGUAGCGAAAUUCCUUGUCGGGUAAGUUCCGACCCGCACGAAAGGCGUAACGAUUUGGGCACUGUCUCAACGAGAGACUCGGUGAAAUCAUAGUACCUGUGAAGA